AUCCGGAUGGAGAGUCCCGAAUAGGACGAAACGCGCGUCCUGGAU
rfam:Schistosoma curassoni strain Dakar, Senegal genome assembly, scaffold: SCTD_scaffold0001033